AAACCAGUACAUGGAUACCUGUGGUAAUUCUAGAGCUAAUACAUGCAGCAAACCCUGACCCUUUACGGGCACGGGCGCAGUUAUUAGAUCAAAAAUCAUUCGACUAUAUCGCUUGUCGGUACGGUCGCUCGUUUGGUGAAUCUGAAUAACCACAGCAAACCGCAUGGCCUUGCGCCGGCGGUCUGUCGGUCAAGCAACUGCCUUAUCAGCUUGUUGUUAGGUUACAUGCCUAACAAGGCGUCGACGGGUAACGAACGAUCGGGGUCGGACAUCGGAGAGGGAGCUUGAGAAACGGCUACCACUUCCAAGGAAGGCAGCAGGCGCGCAAAUUACCCACUCCCGGCACGGGGAGGUAGUGACGAGAUGUAUCGAUGCGGGGCCAUUUGUGCCUUCGUAAUCGGAAUGAGAACACUUUAAAUCCUUUAACGAGGAUCUAUUGGAGGGCAAGUCUGGUGCCAGCAGCCGCGGUAAUUCCCAGCUCCAAUAGCGUAUAUUAAUGCUGCUGCGGUUAAAAAGCUCGUAGUCGGAUUUGGGCUGCCGACGGGCACCGCACUCGGCUUCACGUCGGGUGUUGUGUGCUUUUCGUGUCGUCUAACGACGGCAUUGCCGAUUUGGUAUCUCCUCAUUAGUAGGAAUGCCUUUUCGGUCGUCGGUACCACGGGCCGAACCGAGCCAAGUGCACUUAAUUGUGUGUUUGGUUCGUUUGGUGCGUUUACUUUGAAAAAAUUGGAGUGCUCAAAGCAGGCGUACAUAUGCUAUAUGCAGCCAGAACAGUGGUGCAUGGAAUAAUAGAAUAGGACCUUGGGUCUAUUUUGUUGGUUUUAAGACUUCAAGGUAAUGAUUAAAAGGGACAGACGGAGGCAUUUGUAUUGCGACGUUAGAGGUGAAAUUCUUGGAUCGUCGCAAGACAAACUAAUGCGAAAGCAUUUGUUUAGAAUGUUUUCAUUGAUCAAGAACGAAAGUUAGAGGUUCGAAGGCGAUCAGAUACCGCCCUAGUUCUAACCAUAAACGAUGCCAACCAGCGAUCCGUCGGUGUUCUCAUUAUGAACGACCCGUCGGGCAGCUUCCGGGAAACCAAAGUUUUCGGGUUCCGGGGGAAGUAUGGUGCAAAGCUG
rnacentral:rRNA from 1 species